rnacentral:rRNA from 1 species
GACAGAGGAUGCAAGCGUUAUCCGGAAUUAUUGGGCGUAAAGCGCGCGCAGGUGGUUCCUUAAGUCUGAUGUGAAAGCCCACGGCUCAACCGUGGAGGGUCAUUGGAAACUGGGGAACUUGAGUGCAGAAGAGGAAAGUGGAAUUCCAAGUGUAGCGGUGAAAUGCGUAGAGAUUUGGAGGAACACCAGUGGCGAAGGCGACUUUCUGGUCUGUAACUGACACUGAGGCGCGAAAGCGUGGGGAGCAAACAGG